rnacentral:rRNA from 1 species
CCCUUAGAUGUCCUGGGCUGCACGCGCGCUACACUGAUGUGUCCAGUAAGCACCUAACCUCUUCCGAAAGGAACGGGUAACCUUUGCAAAUCACAUCGUGAUGGGGAUAGAUUAUUGCAAUUAUUAGUCUUGAACGAGGAAUUCCUAGUAAGCACAAGUCAUCAGCUUGUGUUGAUUACGUCCCUGCCCUUUGUACACACCGCCCGUCGCUCCUACCGAUUGAAUGUUCCGGUGAGCUCUUCGGACUGCGCGGUCUGCAGUUUCUGCGUUCCGUGCGGAAAGUUGCGCAAACCUUAACAUUUAGAGGAAGGAGAAGUCGUAACA